rnacentral:rRNA from 1 species
GACGAACGCUGGCGGCGUGCUUAACACAUGCAAGUCGAACGGAAAGGCCCUUCGGGGUACUCGAGUGGCGAACGGGUGCGUAACACGUGGGUGAUCUGCCCUGCACUUUGGGAUAAGCCUGGGAAACUGGGUCUAAUACCGAAUAGGACCACGCGCUUCAUGGUGUGUGGUGGAAAGCUUUUGCGGUGUGGGAUGGGCCCGCGGCCUAUCAGCUUGUUGGUGGGGUAAUGGCCUACCAAGGCGACGACGGGUAGCCGGCCUGAGAGGGUGACCGGCCACACUGGGACUGAGAUACGGCCCAGACUCCUACGGGAGGCAGCAGUGGGGAAUAUUGCACAAUGGGCGGAAGCCUGAUGCAGCGACGCCGCGUGAGGGAUGACGGCCUUCGGGUUGUAAACCUCUUUCAAUAGGGACGAAGCGCAAGUGACGGUACCUAUAGAAGAAGCACCGGCCAACUACGUG